ensembl:snoRNA
UGGAUCUGUGAUGACAUUGCAUGCCGGAUAAGUCACCCAUGAUCAAUAACUGUCUGAAAUUCUGAGAUUCAA